UAGGGAAUCUUCCACAAUGGGCGAAAGCCUGAUGGAGCAACGCCGCGUGAGUGAAGAAGGCCUUCGGGUUGUAAAACUCUGUCAUUCGGGACGAACCGGAGUCUGAGGAAAUGCAGACUCUCUGACGGUACCGGAGGAGGAAGCCCCGGCUAACUACGUGCCAGCAGCCGCGGUAAUACGUAGGGGGCAAGCGUUGUCCGGAUUCACUGGGCGUAAAGCGCGCGCAGGCGGUGAUGUAAGUCUGAGGUGAAAACCCGAAGCUCAACUUCGGGACUGCCUUGGAUACUGCGUCACUUGAGGAUAGGAGAGGCAAGGGGAAUUCCACGUGUAGCGGUGAAAUGCGUAGAGAUGUGGAGGAACACCUGUGGCGAAGGCGCCUUGCUGGCCUAUUUCUGACGCUGAGGCGCGAAAGCGUGGGGAGCAAACAGG
rnacentral:rRNA from 1 species